rnacentral:tRNA from 1 species
GGAUUGUGGCUCAAUGGUAGAGCGCUCACCUAGCAUGCACGAGGUCCUGGGUUCCAUCCUCAGUGCCA